AUAAAUUUGUAUUAUAAAUGUAUGUUUUUCAUUAAACAGCUUUCGGAAUAUGGAUGCUCUCUGACUGCGACAAAUGCUUGAGGAUAUAGCAGUAAAGCACAGUGCAACGACCACGAGCUACAUGCAGUUAUACAUUCAAAAUCGGUCCUAUUAUGCAGGUUUUGGAAUAUGAAUACUCUCUGACUGCGCCAAAUGCUUAAGGAUUUAGCAAUAAAAAACAUGAAUAUAAUUUUAGAUUUGUUAGGUAGUAGUUUCUAGUUUCUAAGGUAGUUGUUGAUUUUCAGUAGCUAGAAAGUGAAAAGUAUUUCACGAAUAAAUUUGUUUUUUGUA